rnacentral:tRNA from 1 species
AUUAAGAAGCUAUGUAUCAGCAUUAGCCUUUUAAGCUAAAGAAAGAGGGACCCUCCCCUCCUUAAUGAUA